AUUGAACGCUGGCGGCAUGCUUUACACAUGCAAGUCGAACGGUAACAGGCCGCAAGGUGCUGACGAGUGGCGAACGGGUGAGUAAUGCAUCGGAACGUGCCCAGUCGUGGGGGAUAACGCAGCGAAAGCUGCGCUAGUACCGCAUACGAUCUAUGGAUGAAAGCGGGGGACCGUAAGGCCUCGCGCGAUUGGAGCGGCCGAUGUCAGAUUAGGUAGUUGGUGGGGUAAAGGCUCACCAAGCCAACGAUCUGUAGCUGGUCUGAGAGGACGACCAGCCACACUGGGACUGAGACACGGCCCAGACUCCUACGGGAGGCAGCAGUGGGGAAUUUUGGACAAUGGGCGCAGCCUGAUCCAGCAAUGCCGCGUGCAGGAAGAAGGCCUUCGGGUUGUAAACUGCUUUUGUACGGAACGAAACGGUCCUGGUUAAUACCCGGGGCUAAUGACGGUACCGUAAGAAUAAGCACCGGCUAACUACGUGCCAGCCGCCGCGGUAAUAC
rnacentral:rRNA from 1 species